AGAGUUUGAUCAUGGCUCAGGAUGAACGCUAGCUACAGGCUUAACACAUGCAAGUCGAGGGGAAACGAUAUUGGAAGCUUGCUUCCGAUAGGCGUCGACCGGCGCACGGGUGAGUAACGCGUAUCCAACCUGCCCACCACUUGGGGAUAACCUUGCGAAAGUAAGACUAAUACCCAAUGACGUCUCUAGAAGACAUCUGAAAGAGAUUAAAGAUUUAUCGGUGAUGGAUGGGGAUGCGUCUGAUUAGCUUGUGGCGGGGUAACGCCACCAAGGCUACGAUCAGUAGGGGUUCUGAGAGGAAGGUCUCCCACAUUGGAACUGAGACACGGUCCAAACUCCUACGGGAGGCA
rnacentral:rRNA from 1 species